rnacentral:misc_RNA from 1 species
UUACUCGUUAGACCACGGCUGUUACUACUUGACUGUUGAUAAGUGAUAACGUUCUUUGGACAAUCUGUAGUUGUAGUUAACUAGUUAAGUUAAGUACUCAGUAGUUAACACUUAAUUUCAUUAUAUUGUGAAAUUGUAAAUCAUUUUCUAAUGGCUGAAGAGUUUGAUUUAUCUUGCACCAACAAGUUUGAAGUGGAAUUGGGCUCUUCAUUAAGACAUUGUUGUAAUACUUCUCGUAAACUCAAACAGCUAGCUUUGAAUGCUGCCGAGUUAAAAAUAAAUAAUCAAAUAAACUUGACAUGCAAAGAAAGUGAUGUUGGACUAAGUGUAAAAAAUAUUUUAGAUGCAGUGCAAAAUUUACGUGGUAAAUUAAGUAUUAUUGAAACAACAUUUGAUUGUUCGGAUAAGACUGUAUUCAAUCUUGGAGAAACUGUUCAAGAGCUUGAGAGUGUUGUUAACAUUGUGUCAAAAAACAAGAACACAAUUUUUACUCACCGUAAUCUUUUAUAAUUUAUUUAUCUUAUUUUAUUCAGUUAUAUAAUAAGUACCUAGUAGUAUUACAUUUAUAAUGUCAUUUAAACGUGUAUGUGAUGGAUCAGGCAGCGAUUUACUCAAAAGUCUUGAGUCACAAAGAAUCAGAGAAUUACUUGGCAUUCAAAUACCAGAUGGUGAAGCUAAAUUGUUGUCCAAUGGAAAGUUGACUUGUAUGAUUUGUAUUCAAAGACCAAUUUUUGAUACGAUUAAUGUGCUCUCAAUUCACAGAAAAGGAAAAAAACAUUUAAACGAACUUAGUAAAUAUUUGGAAAGAAAGGAAGAGUUAGAGUUAAUAAAGAUUAAACAACAACAGAAAAAAUACAUUCAGUCAUUUGGUGCUUCAAAAUUGUAUACUAGUUCCACAGAACGUAAAACAAAAUUAGAACUGCCAGAAGAUGAUUCAGAUAAUUUUAAAGAAUCUUCUAUUGUUUCACGCUAUGUAUCUUCAAUGAAAAAAAAACCAUCUUUACAAGAUGUUAUAAACCGUGCAAGAAAAAUUCCUUAUCAGCGACCGGUCUGUAAUUCACAUACCCCAGUUUCCAAAAAUACCUCAGAUAUCAUUCAAUCAAUACAGACUUCCAGCAAUAAAGAAAUUGAAAUUGGUUGGAUAAUUAAUUCUGAUGGAUCAUGGUCUAAGGAUCCACAAGCUGAAUUUGAUUCUGAUGAUGACUGAUUUGUAUGCAAAUUAUAUAUAAAGCAAUUUUAUACCGAAACAAAUAACAUCAAUUGCUGAGAAAUCAUCUAAUAUGAAAUUACCACUCAUAACAAUGGGUUGAAUUCUUGAUGUAAAACCAAGUAGAGAAUUUUCUAGGCCUGUGAUCCUUUAAUUACAUUGCCGGAAUGUAAAUUACAAUCAUGUGGAAACUUUCUUUCCUUAAGAAAUAAUAGUGCUUCUAGAAUCUGACGGCCAAGUCUUUGUAUCUGCGACAAUGGCAAACCUUCACUGCGCUGUCCGUACUUAUCGCUCCAAUCAUCAUGCCAACAACUCUAAAUUAUUUUUAUCAUUAAAUUAUAAUUUCUAUAUUCAAGA